rnacentral:rRNA from 1 species
UACGUAGGGACCGAGCGUUGUCCGGAAUCAUUGGGCGUAAAGGGCUCGUAGGCGGUCUGUUGCGUCGGGAGUGAAAAUUCACAGCUUAACUGUGAACUUGCUUCCGAUACGGGCAGACUUGAGGUAUUCAGGGGAGAACGGAAUUCCUGGUGUAGCGGUGAAAUGCGCAGAUAUCAGGAGGAACACCGGUGGCGAAGGCGGUUCUCUGGGAAUAUCCUGACGCUGAGGAGCGAAAGUGUGGGGAGCGAACAGG